CGCUCAUCUCGAGCGGUGGAGGGAACGGCCCGACGAAACCCGGCAACCAGCGCAGGCCACUGCGCCAGGUGCCAAUGCCGGCGGAGCGGGAAAGCUCCGCACGAUGAGCG
rfam:Thermomicrobium roseum DSM 5159, complete genome.